rnacentral:rRNA from 1 species
UACGUAGGGGGCAAGCGUUGUCCGGAAUCAUUGGGCGUAAAGAGCGCGUAGGCGGUCCGAUAAGUCUGCCGUGAAAGCCAAGGGCUCAACCCUUGGAUGCCGGCGGAUACUGUCGGGCUAGAGUCCGGAAGAGGCGAGUGGAAUUCCUGGUGUAGCGGUGAAAUGCGCAGAUAUCAGGAAGAACACCAAUGGCGAAGGCAGCUCGCUGGGACGGUACUGACGCUGAGGCGCGAAAGCGUGGGGAGCAAACAGG